rnacentral:rRNA from 1 species
UACGUAGGGUGCGAGCGUUUAAUCGGAAUUACUGGGCGUAAAGCGUGCGCAGGCGGUUGUGCAAGACAGAGGUGAAAUCCCCGGGCUUAACCUGGGAAUGGCCUUUGUGACUGCACGGCUAGAGUGUGUCAGAGGGGGGUAGAAUUCCACGUGUAGCAGUGAAAUGCGUAGAGAUGUGGAGGAAUACCGAUGGCGAAGGCAGCCCCCUGGGAUAACACUGACGCUCA